rnacentral:rRNA from 1 species
AUUCCAGCUCCAAGAGCGUACACCUAUAUUGCUGCAGUUAAAACGCUCGUAGUCUAUAAAAAGUCCUAGUGUGUGUGGUCUGUAGCCCUUAGGGGAGCAUCUGCUUUCUGCUGUUGUGUCUUCCCAAAUGGGUUGGUACAUCAGUAGAACAUCAGAUUAGCACACAUCAAGGCAUAUCGAUCGUGAACAAAUCAAUGUGAUCCAAGCAGGCAUUGCAUUCAAAAGCUCGAAUAUAUUAGCAUGAAACCCAAUAUAUAAGCUGUUACACUCGUGUAGCAGUUGAUUAUAUAAUAGGAGGCUGAAAUACGAUACUGGUAUUGCUGGCGCAGAGGUGAAAUUCCGACAUUCUAGCAAGACCACCUGAAGCGAAAGCUGACAUAUCUCUCACGCCUCCAUUGAUCAGGAACGAAAGUUAGGGGAUCGAAGAUGAUUAGAUACCGUCGUAGUCCUAACU